UUUAGCUUUCUUUUGUUCAUUUGUACAUAAUUCUCCUUCUGUAAAAAAACAUACAAAACUUAUCUGAAUAAUAGAUCGUUUUAAAUUUGCUACCCAACCAUUUAGAACUUUGAUUUUACUAUCAAAUCUUUCAAUUUGUUUGAUUUGAGUUAGUCAGCGGCAUUUUGACUUCAAAAUUGAAUGCGUCCUUUAUCUUUACAAGUUUAGUUAAUUAAUAUACUUUAUCCAAUUCUCGCAACUAUAAAUUCACUUAAGUAAGUGAUGAUUAAUUUAACUUUUGAAGUCAAAAUACUAUUUGCUGACUUAAUUGAAAUGUUGGGUAAACUAUGGACUAUUUUGAUUUGGCUAUCGAACCUUUCAAAAUUUAGAUUUACCAUCCAACCUUUCAAUUUGUUUGAUUUGAGUCAGUCAGCGGCACUUUGACUUUAAAAUUUGAAUGCGUCGUUUAUCUUUACAGGUUUAGUUAAUUUCAUGGAAUUCUCGCGCGCAACGAUAAAUUCACUAAAAUAAGUAAUAAUUAACUUAAACUUUGAAGUCGAAGUACCGU
rnacentral:lncRNA from 1 species